rnacentral:misc_RNA from 1 species
AACGCAUAUUGCGCUCGAGGCUUCGGCCAAGAGCAUGUCUGCCUCAGCGUCGGGUUAAUAUCACAUCCCUAUUCACCUUGUGAACAGGGCCAUGUGGACUUGGCUGUUCCAGUUCAGUGCGAGUUUGAUGUAACAAUCAUGCUCAGCAAGCACCCUGGAUCGGCUGAAGAACAGAGGCUAACAAGGACUCUUUAAGGGUCGCAACUGAGUAGGCACUUGUGCUAAUUACUUUAGUUGUUGGCCUGAGACCUUCUGUUCAGCCCUCAACCAGGAAAUCUAUUAACCUAUUUUCUCGACCUGAGCUCAGGCAAGAACACCCGCUGAACUUAA